rnacentral:tRNA from 1 species
GGGAAUGUAGCUCAAGUAGAACUCUCACCCUUUGGAAAGUGAUAUGGGUUCAAAUCCCAACAUUCCCU